rnacentral:rRNA from 1 species
GCUUGUCUCAAAGAUUAAGCCAUGCAUGUCUAAGUAUAAACGAUUUUAUACGUGAAACUGCGAAUGGCUCAUUAUAUCAGUUAUAGUUUAUUUGAUGGUCCUUACUACUUGGAUAACCGUAGUAAUUCUAGAGCUAAUACAUGCAUCAAGCCCUGACUUCGGAAGGGGUGUAUUUAUUAGAUGGAAACCAAUGCAGGGCAACCUGGAAUAUGGUGAUUCAUAAUAACUCGCGGAUCGGUUUACCGAUGCAUCAUUCAAGUUUCUGCCCUAUCAGCUUUGGAUGGUAGGGUAUUGGCCUACCAUGGCUUUAACGGGUAACGGAGAAUUAGGGUUCGAUUCCGGAGAGGGAGCCUGAGAAAUGGCUACCACAUCCAAGGAAGGCAGCAG